rnacentral:rRNA from 1 species
UACGUAGGGGGCAAGCGUUGUCCGGAAUUAUUGGGCGUAAAGUGCGCGCAGGCGGCUUUGUAAGUUUGGUGUUUAAUCUCAGAGCUCAACUCUGAUUCGCAUCGAAAACUGCAAAGCUUGAGUACAGAAGAGGAAAGUGGAAUUCCACGUGUAGCGGUGAAAUGCGUAGAGAUGUGGAGGAACACCAGUGGCGAAGGCGACUUUCUGGGCUGUAACUGACGCUGAGGCGCGAAAGCGUGGGGAGCAAACAGG